GAUUUCCCUUCUUGAACCCUUCCCCCAAAAUAAAUAAAGAUAUGUCUCUCAAAAAGUAACCUUCCUACAAAAAUACAAUUAAAUUUGUGUUCAUUCUGAUUUAACUUAUAAAGUUAUCCAGAUUAGAUAAUUAGUGACUGCAGUUGUAAUUCUAUUAGGGUUAUUCUAUGGUACCGUGGGGUGUAACUAUCAAGACACCCCUUUGGUACAAUCACAAAGUCCUUGGUCUAAUUCAUUUUGUACCAUGUUACCA
rnacentral:misc_RNA from 1 species